rnacentral:tRNA from 8 species
GCGGGUAUAGCACAACGGUAGUGCAUCAGCCUUCCAAGCUGAGGAUACGGGUUCGAUCCCCGUUACCCGCUCCA